rnacentral:rRNA from 1 species
ACUCUUACGCGAGGCAGCAGUGGGGAAUAUUGGACAAUGGGGGAAACCAUGAUCCCGCAAUGCCGCGUGAGUGAUGAAGGCCUUAGGGUUGUAAAGCUCUUUUACACAGGGAUGAUAAUGACAGUACCUGAGA